UGCCAGCCGCCGCGGUAAUACGGAGGGUGCAAGCGUUAAUCGGAAUUACUGGGCGUAAAGCGUGUGUAGGUGGUUCUUUAAGUCGGAUGUGAAAGCCCCGGGCUCAACCUGGGAAUUGCAUUCGAUACUGGAGAACUUGAGUUUAGCAGAGGAAAGCGGAAUUCCGGGUGUAGCGGUGAAAUGCGUAGAUAUCCGGAGGAACAUCAGUGGCGAAGGCGGCUUUCUGGGUUAAAACUGACACUGAGGCACGAAAGCGUGGGGAGCAAACAGGAUUAGAUA
rnacentral:rRNA from 1 species